GUCCACGCUGUAAACGAUGAGUGCUAGGUGUCACGGGUAUUGACCCCUGUGGUGCCGCAGUUAACGCAUUAAGCACUCCGCCUGGGGAGUACGGCCGCAAGGCUAAAACUCAAAGGAAUUGACGGGGGCCCGCACAAGCGGUGGAGCAUGUGGUUCAAUUCGACGCAACGCGAAGAACCUUACCUGGGUUGGAAACCUUCCGAACCCCCUAGAGAUAGGGGGGUGCCCUUCGGGGAGCGGGAUGUCCAGGUGCUGCAUGGCUGUCGU
rnacentral:rRNA from 1 species